UACCAAUAUUGUAUAAAUUGCUUAUUACCUUUGUAGGCACAAAAUCGUUGUACUUUCCAAGAUGAACGAAUGUCUUACUUUCAGGUUUCCUUCACAACUGUCGGUAUCACGAUAUCUUUAAAAGAAAGGUUCGGCGAUCCUCUCAUUACCGAAAUUCAAAUGUCACGGUUCGUUACGAGAAACGUGCCAGAAUCGAUUUUGAUUAUUUGGAACGGGUGGAGACACGAGAAUAUGAAUUUUAAUCAUGCGGCUCGUCAGCCCAAUUUUCCGAAUGGGCGUCAAAGAUAUCUACGGAAUUUAUCUACAUGAUUAUCAUGCUCGCUCGUCGGGGAUCUCUAAGCUGGUAAGGGUGAUGUGAAAUCGUUGAAUUUGCACAAAUCACGUCGUACUUGUGAAAUCGCACGUCACCAAAUAAAUGGCUCUUUGAAGAUUCGUCAAUAAUGCUCAUCAGGUGAUAUUUUCAGCCCAACAGCCAGAGUUAUAGAGCACCAUGAUUAUCAAUGUUAUUGUUUCAUUACUUUUUUUUCAAAGCAGUUUUACAUUACUGUAAACAUUUACUGUACCUAACUUAUACAUUUUUCCUAGGGUAUUUCAACUAUAAAGUGCCAGUGGUUUUGAAAAAAAAAUUUGUAAAUUUGCCGGGUUUGAAUGCAGAUCUGCUGGAUUCGAACACAGGACCUACGCCGUGUCAACGCCUAACCCUUUGCGAUAACCGACGCCCUCAAAAUAAGACGUUUAUCGCUACAUUUCUACAAGUAAAUACGGUUUAUACAUGUCAAAAAACAAAAUUUAUUGAAUGUUCGUCAACAUUGUUUUUAACCUUGGGCAUUCCCGUUCAGUUUGAUCCAGUAACAGACCAGUAUUUAGAAUAGCCAGACAGUGAAACGCAUCUUCUCAAGAAGGUGCUAAUGUUGGCUUUAAUUAACUCCUUAGUAAGACGGAUUUAAUGGAGUUUUUCGGUUUAGGACAUUAUGACAGAAGAAGGACUACCGGGGCAUCUGUUAACACUGCCAUUUUCGGCUAUUCUACGUGGAAAUUUGAUAUGUUCAAAUCUUUGAAUGUACCACGCGGCACCAGAUGCCUGUCAAAUGAUACGGUUCUGUAUGAAUUGCAUCUUUUGGACGUGUGAACCGAAUGCUGAUCACCAUACAGUCAAACUACCAGAUUGGCCGGAUAACUACAGGGAGACAGAUGUAUAUGUCGUUUUCCUAGCGAGGAAGUAUUUCAAAGCAAUC